rnacentral:lncRNA from 1 species
UUAGGUUCUUAGUAAUAUCAAAAGAAACUGAAAAUUCUGAACAGCUAAUAACUGAUAAAUGAAGCUAAGAAAACAAGAAGCAGAGAGCGCAGUUCUUUAUAUUAUAUUAAUGUUUUGCAUGAACACAGUUAUAUAUGCAAUUUGCUUUGCAUUCUUGACAUAUCAUUUGGAAAAUGUCUUAAUUAAUUUGGCUUAAUUACCUUCAACUUCGUGAUGUUACUUCUUAGUAGUGGUAGGGAGGAGGAGGAGAAGCGUAAAGAUAGGGGUGGUGUGGUGCUGGAGACUUGUAGACUGGAGUUGGUGGUGGAGGUGACUUGUAAACAGGAGUUGGUGGUGGUGGAGACAUAUAAACUGGUGCAGGAUGGUAUGGUGUUGGUGAAGGAUGGUAUGGCUUCACUGGUGGCGGUGGUGACUUGUAAACUGGUGCAGGAUGAUACGGUGUUGGUGAAGGGUGGUAUGGCUUCUUGGGUGGUGGUGGUGACUUGUAAACGGGAGCUGGUGGUGGUGGCGACUUGUAAACUGGUGUGUGUGGAGGGUAGUAUGGCUUCUUGGGUGGUGGUGGUGACUUGUAAACUGGAGUUGGUGGUGGUGGUGACUUGUAAACCGGGGUGUGUGGAGGGUAGUAUGGCUUCUUGGGUGGUGGUGGCGACUUGUAAACUGGAGUUGGUGGUGGUGGAGACUUAUAAACCGGGGUGUGUGGAGGGUAGUAUGGCUUCUUGGGUGGUGGUGGCGACUUGUAAACUGGAGUCGGUGGUGGUGGAGAUUUGUAAACAGGGGUGUGUGGAGGGUAGUAUGGUUUCUUGGGUGGCGGCGGUGACUUGUAAACCGGAGUUGGUGGUGGUGGCGACUUGUAAACUGGGGUGUGUGGAGGGUAGGAUGGCUUCUUGGGUGGUGGUGGUGACUUGUAAACGGGAGUUGGUGGUGGUGGCGACUUGUAAACCGGGGUGUGUGGAGGAUAGUGUGGCUUCUUGGGUGGUGGUGGUGACUUGUAAACUGGAGUUGGUGGUGGUGGAGAUUUAUAAACGGGUGCAGGAUGAUAUGGUGUUGGUGAAGGGUGGUAUGGCUUCUUAGGUGGCGGUGGAGACUUAUAUACAGGGUGGUGGGGUGGUGAUGGAUAGACAUGCACUGGUGGAAGAGGAGACUUGUAGAGGUAUGGUUUCUUAGGUGGUGGUGGAGAUGA